rnacentral:rRNA from 1 species
CCUACGGGUGGCAGCAGUGGGGAAUAUUGCACAAUGGGGGAAACCCUGAUCCAGCGACGCCGCGUGAGGGAAGACGUAAUUCGUUAUGUAAAGCUCUAUCAGCAGGGAAGAAAAUGACGGUACCUGAGUAAGAAGCCCCGGCUAACUACGGGCCAGCAGCCGCGGUAAUACGUAGGGGGCAAGCGUUAUCCGGAUUUACUGGGGGUAAAGGGAGCGUAGACGGCAGUGCAAGUCUGGAGUGAAAGGCGGGGGCUCAACCCGCGGACUGCAGUGGAAACUGUACGGCUGGAGUGCAGGAGAGGUAAGUGGAAUUCCUGGUGUAGCGGUGAAAUGCGUAGAUAUUAGGAGGAACACCGGUGGCGAAGGCAGCUUACUGGACUGUAACUGACGUUGAGGCUCGAAAGCGUGGGGAGCAAACAGGAUUAGAUACCCUGGUAGUC